GAUGAAGAACGCAGCGAAAUGCGAUACUUGGUGUGAAUUGCAGAAUCCCGUGAACCAUCGAGUCUUUGAACGCAAGUUGCGCCUCAAGCCAUUGGGUUGAGGGCACGUCUGCCUGGGCGUCACAUAUCGUUGCCUGAUGCCAGUUUCCUCGUGAUGGGUGACUGUGCAGGGCGAAUGAUGGCUUCCCGUGAGCAUUGUUGCCUCAUGGUUGGUUGAAAAUUGAGUCCUUGGUAGGGAGCGCCGUGAUAGAUGGUGGUUGAGUGACGAACGAGACCCAAUCAUGUGAGACCCCUACCGAAUUUGGCCUUCAUGACCCACAUGCGUCUUUGGAACGCUCAUGACGAGACCUCAGGUCAGGCGGGGCUACCCGCUGAGUUUAAGCAUAUCAAUAAGCGGAGGA
rnacentral:misc_RNA from 1 species